rnacentral:rRNA from 1 species
UGGUAUUUUUACGGCAUCCCUUCGCGAUGGCCGGCUGGUACCUCUCGGGGUUACAGCCUUGCUGAAUUAUUCACCCUUGUCUUUUGCGUACUUCUUGUUUCCUUGGUGGGUUCGCCCACCACUAGGACAAACAUAAACCUUUUGUAAUUGCAAUCAGCGUCAGUAACAAAUUAAUAAUUACAACUUUCAACAACGGAUCUCUUGGUUCUGGCAUCGAUGAAGAACGCAGCGAAAUGCGAUAAGUAGUGUGAAUUGCAGAAUUCAGUGAAUCAUCGAAUCUUUGAACGCACAUUGCGCCCUUUGGUAUUCCAAAGGGCAUGCCUGUUCGAGCGUCAUUUGUACCCUCAAGCUUUGCUUGGUGUUGGGCGUCUUGUCUCUAGCUUUGCUGGAGACUCGCCUUAAAGUAAUUGGCAGCCGGCCUACUGGUUUCGGAGCGCAGCACAAGUCGCACUCUCUAUCAGCAAAGGUCUAGCAUCCAUUAAGCCUUUUUUUCAACUUUUGACCUCGGAUCAGGUAGGGAUACCCGCUGAACUUAAGCAUAUCAAUAAGCGGAGGAA